UCCCUAGGAGAUAGACAAGGUCGAGAACAAAGAAACUGAGGCUCAGUGAAUCUGAUGGAUCUUCUCAACGAAGAAUUACCCAAAGAGAAUGGAGGCCGGAGCUCAGUUCGCCUGGCCCUUCUCCCAUGUAACACAAGCUGAACCAAAUCCUGCUUGUGUCCUUCAUGAUGUUGGAAACCCAAGGUCAAAACAUUAAGCACCUUCCUUUCACGCUUUCCAGCCAAUAUGGGAGGGGCGCAGGCUCAGGGAAACCUCGUCAUUGUGGAAACACCUCCUUUCUGAACCCCAGAAACUUUAGUAGGAGAAAUGUGGGCUGGGGCUGUAGCUCAGAGCCCAGCGUAGGCUCCGCAUGGCUGAGACCGGUGAGGGGAAAUGGAAAUGCUCAAUGCUGCUAAGGGGUCGUUACGGUUUGAGUGUGUACCCCAAAAGUUCAUGUGUUAGAAACUUAGCCCCCCAAAUUCAUAUGCUAAGCAAUUAGGAUUAGAUGAGGUCAUGGGGUCGGGGACCCUCACGGUGACAUUAGUGACAUUAUAAAUAAAGGAAGAGAACUGAGCCGACAUACUUGCUCGCCUCAUGAUGCCCUGGGCCGUGUCCUAACAGCAAGAAGAGCCUCAUCAGAGGCUGAGCAGAUUCUGGUGCCCUAGUCUUCAGCCUCCAGAAUUAUGAGCCAAAUGAAUUUCUACUUUUUUAUUUUUUAUUUUCAUUUUUUGGCAGUGCCAGGAUGAGACCCAGGGCUUUGUGCAUAUUAGGCAAGCCAAGCGCUCUACCUCUGAGCCACAAAACCAGUGUAUAAAAUUCUACCCUUUAUAAAGUACCUAGUCUGCGUUAUUCUGUUACAGCCAUGGAUGUGGAUCCAGACGGGCACAUGGCAGGACUGUCCAGCCUUGCCUGCGUAUUUGAAGUCACUGAGGAGCUUAUGAAAAUCCUUUUGCUCAGAACGCUCUUCCGACGAUUCUCCAAAGAUUCCUAAGUGGUCUGGACUAUGGAUUGGGCACAGGGAGUUUUAAAAACACUUCCAGGUCACUCCGACCCGCAGCCAAGGUGGGACACCACCUUGACUCCUGAUGUAUGGAAAUUCUCCUUUGAUUUUCCUUGGAAACGGAGCAGCUGAGGUCUCCAGGCUGCUUUAACACUGCCUGUUCUGAAGAGCCACUGCCCGAGUUCAUGCUGGUGCUCAGCUCAUCUGGCGGCACGGCUGACUGCCUGGUCUCUUUGGGUGGACGGGCAGAGGUGACAUUGAGGCAGAGUGCAGGACAGGCUCCAGGAGCGGAUGCGAGGCCUCUGCCGAGUUUACGGGUUGGCUUUUUCCUGCUACCGCAGGCCUCCAUGUACCUUGCUGUGGGUUAGAGCCCAGGCUGCUGGAGCAGAGGCUCCCGAUGGACUCCUGCUGCACUCAGCAGCCUUCAGACUUGAAUCCCACAUGGGCUCUUCCCUGGACCUCAAGCCUGCAGACUCUGGACCUGCCAGCCUCCAUCACCAGGCUCAAGUUCAGGUGCAAGCCUGGACUCCUCGGCUCACACGGUCCUGAGACUCCAGCUCAUUCCAAAGAGUGGUCAAGGAAUCAUCUUCCCCAGAGACACCCCAGUGGCAGACACUUGUUUUUUUAAGCUGUUUAAGACUGAAACAGAGUUUUCUGUGUUUGACCUUCAAGUUCAACUAAUGGUUCUGAUGGAAAAUAAGAAAAGAGGACUAAAGAUGAGAAAAUAUGACUACUCUCCUCCUACUAGAAGCUAUUCUUGAGCCAUAAGAAACAAUACCCACAAAGAACACUGCUGUUUGAUGUCAGAAUCACAUGCAUCUAAGACAUGACUGCUAUUUGUAAAAGAAACAACUGCGAGCAGAUUUCAAAGGGGAAGCCUGAGCCCAGGUCACGGGGGCUGUAUUAUUGCUAACAUCACCAUUCUGAAAAGUUCCCGGAGACGCUUUUGAAAGGAAAUUCUGCCUGCUCUGUGCUGCUCUGUGUGCUUAGCAAGAUGCAAACAGACUUAAGUGAGACAGGAAGAGGGCUGAGAAGCAGAGAGAUGGAUUCCAAACACCAGGUGGGAGAAUUCAUCUCACCUUGUCUAAUCAGUGCCUGGAGAGGGGAACGCAGACUUCCUUCCCUCUCCUCAAGUCCCUGGAAAAUAGUGCAAAACGGAUUAAGUAAUAGGGAUGAAGUGUUUUUACAUUUUUAAAUUUAUGUCUCUCUCUCUCCCUCCUGCCUAAUCUCUGUAACAUGGACUUCCGGGGAUAAAUAUAGACCACGGUGAAAGAAAAUUGCCUAGGACCCUGGCUGGCUUCAGAUAAAUUUGCUACUAGCAUGGUAGAAAACUCAACGUAGCUUUAAACAAGCUCUCUUUUCCAUCUACAGAAGCUCCAGGCAGCAAACACCACGAACCUAGAAGGUACAUCCUGACAUGUUCAAUAAAUGCACGAGCCAACAAAUAAUGUCCAUCCCAUACACGAGUAGCCCCACAGAGGCUACUUUGAAAAGAAGCAUUUUCGUAAGGAAACCAAUAAUAUUUUUCCCCCCUAGGGGAAAUAUAGGUCCUCUCCUACAUUCUUAAUUACUGUCCUGACUCUGCCCACAUCUCAGAAAACGUCCUAAGUGGGGAAGACUACAUCCUAGCAUAUUUCACUACUGAGCCAGCCAUUAAGCUGUUCGUCUCAACUUCUAACUGGUGCUCUGUGCUCGGCUCUGUGAAUCUGAGGCUGACUCUGCAGACCCCAUUGCUGCUGUGCGGGUCCUCCAUGUUUGCCUCCUCCAAUGGGGCCCUUGCGGGAGGAAGCCUGGCGGGCUGGAGGAGAGGCUUGUUGCUUCUUGUUUGCUUCCCGUUGCUGCCAGCCUCACCCAGCUCCCUCCUCCACUUUGGCAGUUGACCAAGUAACAGAAGGGGACUCCAGUUGGAAGUUUUCCAACAUUCAUGCCCUCAGAAAUGCCAGCAGGUUGGUGCCCUUUCCUCGAGAGCACAGGGCCAAGCUCAUGGAGGCCCGGCCUCCAAGCUCAAAGACAGUCGCCCCAGCUAACGGAAGCCCUUCUCAGAAGUCUGAAAUCCGUGGGGACCCCUCUCCAAGCUUCUAAGGGUUAAUGAUUCCCUUUCUUCCCUACCCCUAAGAGAGGGAACUGCUUCCUGCAGUUGCUACUUCUGGAGUUCCACUGUCUUCUCCAGUUCAUAAUUAUUUACACUGACACAUUGCUACUUAGAAGAGGAUGAGACUGUUUUCUCUCCCCUGUCUAGACUGACUUACACAAAAAUUUAUACCAGAAAUGGUCUCAGGAAACAGACUGCUUGAUUCAAUUAAAGACAGAAUUUGGGGAUUGC